rnacentral:lncRNA from 1 species
CUUGUGAUGGUGCUUUGUUUUUUCUGCUGAGACAGGCAUAGAGGCUGGAGCUCACAGUCUGACAUUCUCCCCUGUGCUGUGGAGCCAGGCAGAUAAUAUUAUGUGUGGGUUAUGCCCAGUUUCCCAUCCUCCCACCUCAUAUUCUGGAGAAGUAAUGACAUCUCUUUUCCUCCUGCUCAAGAAGGCAUUCUGUAGGGUUAUUUCUGGACACAGUAAUCCUUCAGCAAUACAAUUACCAAGUUAUUCAACAUGGAAGGCUUUGCCAAGACAGUGGUGGCUGGGAUUUGACCCUCUAAGUGUGAGCUUCAGUUCUACAUGUUGGAAUAGAUCAUCUGGACCCUCUGGAUUCUGGUCCUGUACUGACCUUCAAGCUGUCUCUUUCAGCUUUCUGUGCUGAGGCAGAAAAGAGGAAAGCUGGACCACACCCAGCCAGGACUACACGUGCAGGUAGUACACAGGAAUUGGGAAUGUGCGUUUGGGCUGGCAGUAUUGCUCUGUGUGGUUGGCAGAAGGAGGCACCAUUCACAUUGAAAACUAGGAAUACGCAGGAGCUAUUGUUGGGUUACCAUUCCAGAAGUAGUUUCCAUCCAUGGUGCUUCCUCUGUCCAGGAAACCUCCCCAAAGAGGCCUACGCCCUCCCUUACUUGCAGUACUCCAUAGCAGAGCAGGAGUCUACUCAGUCCACCCUGGCGUCUGAAAAUGCACAUGU